GUAUCUGUUGAUAGAAUUUUUUAUCAUAAGUAAGUUAAACCACUUUAAUUUUUACCUUGAAUUAUACACAAUAGAGGCUGGAUAAGUAAAUAACAAUUUUGAUUGAGACUCAGUUACUCAAUGCAGUGGAUGGUUACUUUUGUAUGUCAUGCAGCCUGACAUACUAAAAGGUUGGCAUAAUAAAUAUGUGUUUGCAAAACAGCAAUACUAUUUCCAAAGGCUAUGCACUCGUUUGUGGUAGCUACUAUUAGUCAACACAUGUCAUUUUUAACUUUUUACAGGAAGCUCAGGUAGUAUGAUAGACUAAAUGGGUUCUUGUUGUUUUGACACCAGAGUUGUGUAAGUGUUGCUUCUGCUCAUGUUGGAGCAACUUGUAAAGAGGGCUAUUUUCUUACCUGGAAGACUGGUUCCCAAGGCAACAAAUGUAAUAGCAACCACACUGUCGGCCAGAUAAAUGGUGCAACCAAAGUGUGAUGCUAGAUCACCAAUAACUGCAGUCAGAACACCAAUCCAGAGAAUUGACACAA